rnacentral:rRNA from 1 species
GACGAACGCUGGCGGCGUGCUUAACACAUGCAAGUCGAACGGAAAGGCCCUGCUUUUGUGGGGUGCUCGAGUGGCGAACGGGUGAGUAACACGUGAGUAACCUGCCCUUGACUUUGGGAUAACUUCAGGAAACUGGGGCUAAUACCGGAUAGGAGCUCCUGCUGCAUGGUGGGGGUUGGAAAGUUUCGGCGGUUGGGGAUGGACUCGCGGCUUAUCAGCUUGUUGGUGGGGUAGUGGCUUACCAAGGCUUUGACGGGUAGCCGGCCUGAGAGGGUGACCGGCCACAUUGGGACUGAGAGACGGCGCAGACUCCUACGGGAGGCAGCAGUGGGGAAUAUUGCACAAUGGGCGGAAGCCUGAUGCAGCAACGCCGCGGGCGGGAUGACGGCCUUCGGGGUGUAAACCGCGUUCGCCUGUGACGAAGCGUGAGUGACGGUAAUGGGUAAAGAAGCACCGGCUAACUACGUG